GUCACGCCCCGAUCCUCGGGCACGUGCCCAUCCUUUUCUUUGGUCGAUUUUAUAAUGCGAUAUCCCAGGACAAUAUAUCGCCGACCCUUUUAAUUUUUAAGCACAUGCGGAAGCAGUUAAAAUCCCCAGACAAUAAAACGAUGGGAUAGAAAAGCAGGGCCAUAUUUUUCAUAUUGAAAUUUAUAACCACACUUUUAUACAAACCACAAACCUCUUCAUAACUAUUCACAUCAAAACGGAGAUCUCAAAAGGAGACAGAAACUCUUAGCCAUCCGGGCCGUACUCAAGGCCCUUCUCGGGAUUAUCAUCUUCUCCCAAAAAUCUUUCUCCUUAAGUUUCACCUCCGAGUUCUCCUUCUUAGACUCCUCCUCUUCAGCUUCUCACCGGGGUCCUGAAAUGGUUUUCCCCAAACUGGGAUGAGACUACGUCUCAGCGAGUUCUACCCCACUAAGCCCGAUUAGUAAACUAUUAUACUAAAGGCUGCCUAAACACGCAUAGCUCAGAAGACGUACCUUAGCAUCAGAUCCCACCUGCAAGUCAGUACAAUUUACAAUAGACACUCAAGCAAUCAUAUCACCGAUCGAAGCAUCAAUCAAAUCGACCUAGUCGAUUACAAGCCAACAAGACCACUCACGGUCAUUUCCAUUCAGUCAAUCAAUUCACAACAUCAAAUCAAAACAAUGAUCAAUCGACCUCGUCGAUUACAUGUUAGACGGACCAUUCUGGGUCAAUUCGAUUAUUCCAUCUCAAUCAUUAAUUACGAACUACGAUCCUCAUAUCACAUCUUAAGCAAAGGUGGAAGACACAGUCCACCACUCGACCACUUUCGAUACUCAAUGGCUUUACGGUCCCACUCGACCACUUUCGAUACUUAAUGGCUUUACGGUCCCACUCGACCACUUUCGAUAAUCGAUACAUAGAAAUACGGCCACGUAGGCACAAUCUAUGCCACACAGGCAUGAUCAACUAUCGCCACACAGGCAUGAUCACUUAUCGCCACACAGGCAUGAUCACUUAUCGCCACACAGGUAUGAUCAACUAUCGCCACACAGGCAUGAUCAACUAUCGCCACACAGGCAUGAUCAACUUUCAACAAUUUACGAGCAUUCUCUAAGGCAACCUCUUCGCCAAGAUGACAUAAUCAACCACUGAAUACACGUGCAUUCUCCAGGUGAUAUUCCGAUUCACCGAGCCCACGUAUUUCCAUUCAGGUGAUAACCAAUACCCAACGAUUUCUCAAUCAAAUAAUUAAAUCAACUCAACAAAGCAUUAUAACCGCUGAAUAACAUACUUGGCCAUUUACCAAUCAACAAUUCAAUCUCAGUCAAUUUCAAUCAAUUUAGGGUAAAUCCCUAAAAUAUCACAAUUUAUUCAAUUCCAUACAACGUGGAGCUCAAAUGAAUAAACGGACUGCGCCACGACGAUCAGCACGAGAUUUCGGUCGUCGGCCAUCAAAAUCUUAAUUUCCGAAAAAUAAAUAAUUAAUUUAUUAAUUUCGAAAAUUACAUAAUUAAUAUUAAAAAUUCAAUUUAGCUCAAAAUAAAGCCCGAUUAAAUAAACGGACUUCACCACGGUCAUCAGCACAAUAUUCCGGUUCCAGACCAUCUCAGUUGAAUUUUCGAAAAAUAAAUAAUUAUUUAAUUUAAUUCCGAAAAUUAAUAUUUAAAUACUAAAAAUUCCACUUAGGCCCGAAUCGCCAAAUUGGAGCCCACAAAGGGUCGGAAAAUUCCCGAGAUGCUUCCAAUAAUUAGUAGACCACGUCUACUUGUUAAUUGCACAAUCAAUUUAUCUAAAUCACAUCACAAUUGACUAAUAAUUGCUAAUUUAUUUAAAUCUAACAACCUAAACAUAAUUAAUUAAAUCUAAACCAACCUUAAGCAUAAUUAGCCAACUAAUCCAAGAUUAGUGAGAUUACUCACCAAAUCGCGCGCAAAUCGGAUCAAUCCGACAGCGGCGAUGCGAGGAACGAUACUUCCCAAAGCAACUCGCGGAUCUGGGGCCGGGAAACGGCCCAAAACGGGCCCGAACCAGCUGGAAACCCAUUUCGUGGGUUUCUGCCCUUGGCUGGUCGGAGCAGAUCCGGUGGCCAAAACGGCGAGGGAAGGCCGGCGGAGAGCAAGGGGAACGCCGGGGAAGUCCGGCGGGGCUGGGCGGUGGCCGGAGGUGGCCGGACGGUGGCUGGUCAGGGCGGAAUCGAGCUAAACAGAGGCUGGUUCGUUCGGGGAGGUCGCCUGGUGCGAGGGACGGGGUCGACGGCGCACGGCGGCGAGCGGCGCACGCACGACCACGAGCGCGGGCGAGCGGCGCGGCGGCGGGACGAGCGGCGACGGUGGCUGGCUACUGCUUCCGAUCUCCUGGAGCUUCUGGUUCGUUCGUUUGCACAGAGAAGAAGGAAGAAGAAAGAGUGACGAGAGAGAGAGAGAGAUGAGAGAGAGAAGAGAGAAAGAUUAGGUUUGACUGGUCAAAAAGUAAAAUAAAAGAGAAGUAGAGUGGAAGACAGCAGAGGGGCGGUCGGCUGGGGAAGGGUUUUCGCACGAGGGGGAGGGGAGGAGAGAGAAGAGAGAGAAAAGGGAGAGAGAGAGAAAAA
rnacentral:lncRNA from 1 species